rnacentral:tRNA from 1 species
GGAGGUUUUAGCUUAGUUAAAGUGUUUGAGUUGCAUUCAGAAGAUGCAUAUUAAAAUUGUGCAACCCUUC